CGGCGCGCGUUCUGAUGUGGUUGGACUGUGUUCCACGCGUCUCCAGAUUGCCGCGGUCACUCUUAUACCGAGACCGAGGUUGGCGGCUUGGUUCCCUGCUGACCCUGCUGAUGCAACAGCAUGGCCCCCCCUCCCCCAUUUGGACACCUUCGCACCGCCUGGAAGGCCUGCCUCACCUGCAGUUCUCCUGGAUCGCGGAAACGUAACAAUGUUGGGAGGUCUGUUGACGUCCACCGUAUAGCGGCAGUGACCGGGUGGGCUGCCAGCUGGCCAUUCCCAGACGAUGGACCCUUCGAGACGUCCUCCCCUGACCGCCUGCCUGUACCUUUCGACUGUGCAUACUCUUUAGGCUUUGCAGAAAGCUGGACGUGGCCUGGACCCCCGGGCGAGUGAGAAAAGAGGGCUUGCAGAGGCACGGGGAGAGCCCUCAUUGGAACCAAUGACAUGUGCGCUUAUCCGGGGAAAAAAUUCGAGUGGAAGCGGACGAAUACAACAAACGGUGAGCUUUUAGAGCUGGCGUUAAAUUGACAGAAGCAAAUUUUGAUUGCGCGGGUUUAUUUAAAGUGCGAAAGCUGACGAACUGGAGAGAGAGAGAGA